AACGAACGCUGGCGGCAGGCCUAACACAUGCAAGUCGAGCGAACCCUUCGGGGUUAGCGGCGGACGGGUUAGUAACGCGUGGGAAUAUACCCUUUGGUACGGAAUAGCCUCGGGAAACUGAGAGUAAUACCGUAUGUGCCCUUCGGGGGAAAGAUUUAUCGCCAAAGGAUUAGCCCGCGUUGGAUUAGAUAGUUGGUGGGGUAAUGGCCUACCAAGUCUACGAUCCAUAGCUGGUUUGAGAGGAUGAUCAGCAACACUGGGACUGAGACACGGCCCAGACUCCUACGGGAGGCAGCAGUGGGGAAUCUUAGACAAUGGGCGCAAGCCUGAUCUAGCCAUGCCGCGUGGACGAUGAAGGCCUUAGGGUUGUAAAGUCCUUUUCAGAUGGGAAGAUAAUGACGGUACCAUCAGAAGAAGCCCCGGCUAACUCCGUG
rnacentral:rRNA from 1 species